GACGAACGCUGGCGGCGUGCCUAAUACAUGCAAGUAGAACGCUGAAGAGAGGAGCUUGCUCUUCUUGGAUGAGUUGCGAACGGGUGAGUAACGCGUAGGUAACCUGCCUGGUAGCGGGGGAUAACUAUUGGAAACGAUAGCUAAUACCGCAUAAAAUUGAUUAUUGCAUGAUAAUUAAUUGAAAGAUGCAAUUGCAUCACUACCAGAUGGACCUGCGUUGUAUUAGCUAGUUGGUGAGGUAACGGCUCACCAAGGCGACGAUACAUAGCCGACCUGAGAGGGUGAUCGGCCACACUGGGACUGAGACACGGCCCAGACUCCUACGGGAGGCAGCAGUAGGGAAUCUUCGGCAAUGGGGGGAACCCUGACCGAGCGACGCCGCGUGAGUGAAGAAGGUUUUCGGAUCGUAAAGCUCUGUUGUAAGAGAAGAACGGGUGUGAGAGUGGAAAGUUCACACUGUGACG
rnacentral:rRNA from 1 species